rnacentral:rRNA from 1 species
GCGCACCAGUCGCGAAUACUUUACAAUGUGCGAAAGCACGAUAAGGGAACUCUGAGUGCCUCCUAAGGAGGCUGUUCAGGUGUCUAAAAGCACCUGAAGGAAGGGCCGGGUAAGACCGGUGCCAGCCGCCGCGGUAACACCGGCAGCCCAAGUGGUAGCCACGUUUAUUGGGUCUAAAGCGUCCGUAGCCGGCUGGGUAAGUUCCUUGGGAAAUUUGGCUGCUUAACAGUCAAGCUUUCAGGGAAUACUGCCCGGCUUGGGACCGGGAGAGGUCAGAGGUACUCCAGGGGUAGGGGUGAAAUCCAUUAAUCCUUGGGGGACCACCGGUAGCGAAGGCGUCUGACCAGACCGGGUCCGACGGUGAGGGACGAAGGCUAGGGGCGCGAACCGGAUUAGAUACCCCCGUAGU